rnacentral:misc_RNA from 1 species
GAUCAUUACUGUGAUUUAUCCACCACACUGCGUGGGCGACACGAAACACCGAAACCGAACGCACGCCGUCAAGCAAGAAAUCCACAAAACUUUCAACAACGGAUCUCUUGGUUCUCGCAUCGAUGAAGAGCGCAGCGAAAUGCGAUACCUAGUGUGAAUUGCAGCCAUCGUGAAUCAUCGAGUUCUUGAACGCACAUUGCGCCCGCUGGUAUUCCGGCGGGCAUGCCUGUCUGAGCGUCGUUUCCUUCUUGGAGCGGAGCUUCAGACCUGGCGGGCUGUCCCUGUGGACGGCGCGCCCAAAGCGAGGGGCCUUCUGCGCGAACUAGACUGUGCGCGCGGGGCGGCCGGCGAACUUA